GUGACGGAAAGAAUUCCUGUGCAGUAGAAGCACUAAACAGUAUAUUUGGAGAUCCUUGUGGUGGAAUUUACAAAUACUUAACUGCUACCUGGGAGUGCCAUUCAGAGUGAUAGUGACAAAAAGGAGCUGAAAACAUACAGAUAGAAGAACAUGUAGAAUUAGAGACAAAUAUCUCUAAACA